rnacentral:rRNA from 1 species
GACGAACGCUGGCGGCGUGCUUAACACAUGCAAGUCGAACGGAAAGGCCCUGCUUUUGUGGGGUGCUCCAGUGGCGAACGGGUGAGUAACACGUGAGUAACCUGCCCUUGACUUUGGGAUAACUUCAGGAAACUGGGGCUAAUACCGGAUAGGAGCUCCUGCUGCAUGGUGGGGGUUGGAAAGUUUCGGCGGUUGGGGAUGGACUCGCGGCUUAUCAGCUUGUUGGUGGGGUAGUGGCUUACCAAGGCUUUGACGGGUAGCCGGCCUGAGAGGGUGACCGGCCACAUUGGGACUGAGAUACGGCCCAGACUCCUACGGGAGGCAGCAGUGGGGAAUAUUGCACAAUGGGCGGAAGCCUGAUGCAGCAACGCCGCGUGCGGGAUGACGGCCUUCGGGUUGUAAACCGCUUUCGCCUGUGACGAAGCGUGAGUGACGGUAAUGGGUAAAGAAGCACCGGCUAACUACGUG